GUGCUCUUCCCAACCCUCAAGCAGACUCCCCACUGGGCACCAAGAGACCACAAGUCAAGGAGUAUUAGCAGACUCCAGAAACUGGAGAAGGCAAGAAAAUUGAUCCAUCCCUAAAACUUCCAGAAAAGAAUGUGGUCCCACCAAUAUCUUUAUUUUAGCCCAGUAAAACUCAUGUUGGACUUCUGACCUCCAGAACUGUAAGGUAAUAAAUGUCUGUUGCAUUUAA